CUGGGUUCAGUCCCUGGGUUGAGAAGAUCCCCUGGAGAAGGGGAAGGCUACCCACUACAGUGUGAUGGCCUGGAGAAUUCCAUGGACUGUAUAGUCCAUGGAGUUGCAAAGAGUUGGACAUGACUGAGUGACUUUCACUCACUUUCACUCACUUUCACUCACUUAGCUCACAGAGUUAUUUACAGGAUUCAAUGAGCUCGUAACGUGCUUGAAACAGCAUCUGGCUCGUAGUAAGGACUCUGUUAGCUGAUCCUGGAUUGGUGACCACAUCGUGUAGUGGCGGUGGGCUUGUUUGCUUGGACCUGUGACCACGGGCUCACCGUGGGCAGGACGUGUCUUGUGUGGCCCUGUGGUAUCGAUGCCUGGCGCACCCAGGGCCUGGCAUGUGGUAGGCACCCAGCAGAUCUGUGUCAGGAGAACAGCGACCUCUAGAUUUGGGCCAGGGGGUGGGGCAGACCCCGCACCCACACAGGAAGGCACCUAGGAGGGAGGUGCCUGGAGGGGCUAUUCAGCAGCGUCAGAGUGGGUGCCGGGUGGGAGAAUGGGAACACAUGGUCACCCUGGGAUCAGUGUGACCUGACCUUGGGGUGGAUCAAGCUCUGGGGGUGAUCAGGACCUUGCGUGAGGGCACCUGGAACGGCUGGGAGAAAGCCUGGUGGGGGGCGGGGGCGGGCACUGGGAAACAGUGGAAGGUUUUAGAGAAAGAGCAGGACAGGCGGGUCCAGAACUUCAGGGAAGAUCCUGGUCGAAGACUCUGGACUGCCCUGGAGAAAAGAGGGCCUGGAGUUCGCAGGGCGACUGGUUGGCAGGUGCUGGGGCCACACUGCUGAGAGUCACAAGCUGUGCGCACUGCUCACCACCCCGCCCCCUCGGGCCACGGUGCCACCAGGAACCAGGAACCAGGCCAGCCUGCGGUGACCUUCGCCGUCCGGGCCUGGCGCCUCCGGCCCUGGCGCCUGUGUAUUUGCAGCCUCCUGGCUCUGACGCACCUUGCCCAGGUUGCCCAGUUAGGGCAGCCUGCGCCGCGCAAGUCCUAGCGCCCCAGCUCCUCUGAGGCCACUUGAUUUCCCCCUCCCUCACCAGCCUCUGGGUGUCGGUGUUUAUUAUUUUCAUCUUAAAGUGAGAGACAGCAAGGUUGCUGGAAAACAGGCCCCUUGGGGCAGACACUGCUGCUCAGAGCCACCGUGGUGGACUGGCAGGAGGGCACAGGGCCCCGCCGUAGAGGACACUGGCUUCUCCUUGUUGCCCAUGCCCUUGAAUCUGGGCCCCAGACUCUCGGGAGUUGCCUGGCUGGUGGAAGAAGGCGCUCAUAGCCCACCUGUGUUAAUAAGCACCUGCAGCAUACCUGGUCUCCUCUCUAACUGCCAUCUGGGGAGCCAGGGCACCCCGCGGGCCUGCCGGGGCGUGGAGUGCAGUGGCAGUCCCCACCGUUUCAUGAGCAUUGGCUACAUCUCGGCCCGUGUGCUGAGCAUACAGUAUCUCAUUUAAUCCUCAGGGUAACC
ensembl:lncRNA